UGAGUAACACGUAGGUAACCUACCCCAGAGACAGGGAUAACCCUAGGAAACGAGGGCUAAUACCGGAUGACCUCCGGAAGGAGGAAAGGCUCAGGCGCUCUGGGAGGGGCUUGCGGCCCAUCAGCUAGUUGGUAGGGUAAAGGCCUACCAAGGCGAAGACGGGUAGGGGGUGUGAGAGCACGGCCCCCCACAAUGGGACUGAAACACGGCCCAUACUCCUACGGGAGGCAGCAGCAGGGAAUAUUGCACAAUAGGCGAAAGCCUGACGCAGCGACGCCGCGUGAGUGAAGAAGGCCUUCGGGUCGUAAAGCUCUUUUGUAGGGGAAGAGGAAGGACGGUACCCUAAGAAGAAGCGUCGGCUAACUACGUGCCAGCAGCCGCGGUAAGACGUAGGACGCGAGCGUUAUCCGGAAUUACUGGGCGUAAAGGGCCAGCAGGCGGCUUGGUAAGUUGUGCGUGAAAGCCUCGUGCUCAACGCGAGGAAGCCGGACAAUACUGUCAAGCUAGAGGGCAUCAGAGGGGAGUGGAAUUCCCGGAGUAGCGGUAAAAUGCGCAGAUAUCGGGAGGAACACCGAUGGCGAAGGCAGCUCCCUGGGAUGCACCUGACGCUAAGAGGCGAAAGCUAGGGGAGCGAACAGGAUUAGAGACCCUGGUAGUCCUAGCUGUAAACGCUGGGUGCUAGGUGUGGGACGUAGAAGUUCCGUGCCGGAGCAAACGCGAUAAGCACCCCGCCUGGGAAUUACGGUCGCAAGGCUAAAACUCAAACGAAUUGACGGGGCCCCGCACAAGCAGCGGAGCGUGUGGUUCAAUUCGAUGCUACACGAAGAACCUUACCUGGGUUUGACAUGUACGUGGUACGAAGGCGAAAGCCUAAGGACCCUUCGGGGAGCGUACACAGGUGCUGCAUGGCUGUCGUCAGCUCGUGCCGUGAGGUGUCGGGUUAAGUCCCGUAACGAGCGCAACCCUUGCCCUUAGUUACAAGUGUCUAAGGGGACUGCCGGCGGGAAGCCGGAGGAAGGUGGGGACGACGUCAAGUCAGCAUGGCCCUUAUGUCCAGGGC
rnacentral:rRNA from 1 species